rnacentral:rRNA from 1 species
GGUAGUCCACGCCGUAAACGUUGGGAACUAGUUGUGGGGACCAUUCCACGGUUUCCGUGACGCAGCUAACGCAUUAAGUUCCCCGCCUGGGGAGUACGGCCGCAAGGCUAAAACUCAAAGGAAUUGACGGGGACCCGCACAAGCGGCGGAGCAUGCGGAUUAAUUCGAUGCAACGCGAAGAACCUUACCAAGGCUUGACAUACACCAGAACGGGCCAGAAAUGGUCAACUCUUUGGACACUGGUGAACAGGUGGUGCAUGGUUGUCGUCAGCUCGUGUCGUGAGAUGUUGGGUUAAGUCCCGCAACGAGCGCAACCCUCGUUCUAUGUUGCCAGCACGUAAUGGUGGGAACUCAUGGGAUACUGCCGGGGUCAACUCGGAGGAAGGUGGGGAUGACGUCAAAUCAUCAUGCCCCUUAUGUCUUGGGCUUCACGCAUGCUACAAUGGCCGGUACAAAGGGCUGCAAUACCGUGAGGUGGAGCGAAUCCCAAAAAGCCGGUCCCAGUUCGGAUUGAGGUCUGCAACUCGACCUCAUGAAGUCGGAGUCGCUAGUAAUCGCAGAUCAGCAACGCUGCGGUGAAUACGUUCCCGGGUCUUGUACACACCGCCCGUCAAGUCAUGAAAGUCGGUAACACCUGAAGCCGGUGGCCCAACCCUUGUGGAGGGAGCCGUCGAAGGUGGGAUCGGUAAUUAGGACUAAGUCGUAACAAGGUAGCCGUACCGGAAGGUGC